rnacentral:rRNA from 1 species
GAGUUUGAUCGUGGCUCAGAGUGAACGCUGGCGGCAGGCCUAACACAUGCAAGUCGAACGGCAGCGCAGCAGUAGCAAUACUGUGGGCGGCGAGUGGCGGAUGGGUGAGGAAUACAUCGGAAUCUACCUUGUCGUGGGGGAUAACGUAGGGAAACUUACGCUAAUACCGCAUACGAACUACGGUUGAAAGCGGCGGACCGCAAGGCGUCGCGCGAUUGGAUGAGCCGAUGUCCGAUUAGCUAGUUGGCGGGGUAAAGGCCCACCAAGGCGACGAUCGGUAGCUGGUCUGAGAGGAUGAUCAGCCACACUGGAACUGAGACACGGUCCAGACUCCUACGGGAGGCAGCAGUGGGGAAUAUUGGACAAUGGGCGCAAGCCUGAUCCAGCCAUGCCGCGUGUGUGAAGAAGGCCUCGGUUGUAAG